UACUUUCACACUUGCGGCAGAGGAUUCCGGCAGGCAGCUAGUUUCACACUUCCGUCGCUGGAACUGCCUGCCGUAUCCGGAAAAACGUAUGACAACUGACGGCAUUUGUAAGACUGAUCAGGAUUCUGAUCAGUCAGAAAAAUGCAUUGAAAUGCCGGAUCCGUCUUUCCGGUGUCAUUCGG